rnacentral:rRNA from 1 species
AUCCUACGGGACGCAGCAGUGGGGAAUAUUGCACAAUGGGCGCAAGCCUGAUGCAGCCAUGCCGCGUGUAUGAAGAAGGCCUUAGGGUUGUAAAGUACUUUCAGCGGGGAGGAAGGUGAUAAGGUUAAUACCCUUAUCAAUUGACGUUACCCGCAGAAGAAGCAUCGGCUAACUCCGUGCCAGCAGCCGCGGUAAUACGGAGGGUGCAAGCGUUAAUCGGAAUUACUGGGCGUAAAGCGCACGCAGGCGGUCAAUUAAGUCAGAUGUGAAUGCCCCGAGCUUAACUUGUGAAUUGCAUCUGAAAA